GUACUAUUCAAAAAAGGAUGCAAUGGAGAACAUUUACAGAGGACUGUGGGUAAAGCAAAGUCUUCAAGGGAAGAUAACAAAGGAUGAAACAAUGGUGUUGUGUGACUUCCUAGUGUGAAUCAUGGCAAUACAGUGAAAGACAGUGAUUUACUGCUUUUGAGGGCGUGCAUGUAUAUGAUUAACGGAUGGAAGUGCAGGACUCCAAGAUUUACUUCCUUCCCUUUCCAGCAGAAUUACCUGAGACGAGUAAAAUCUACUGGUGGAGUCACUCCAUUAUUCUUAUCUGUGGAGAUCUAGAUCUUGAUUUGAAAGUUUCUGAGAAAAUCUUCAGCUCAGACUUGAGGGUCAACUUUACCAGCUGAAGGAUCUGCAUUUACUGCUCAACCACAUCUAAUUUGAUGUCCUCUGCAGAUUUAAAAUGUGUGCCUUCUUUUCCGUCACCAAGUCAUCCCUGGGUUACUACUGAACAUCCUUCUCAAUUCCCCCCGACCCAUGGAUGGCUGUUCUCCAUUGUCUGUUUCACCAGAUGUCCUCAAAACAAACAGACAGAAGAAGGAAGUGGCUAAUGGAGCUGUGGAGUCCAAGUGUGACUGCCAAGAGGAAUCCAGCAAAGCCAAAAAGCCCAAGCAUGUAGCCCUGCCCGAAGCACGCCACACGCAUGGAAAACCCAGAGGAAAUGAGUGAGGAUCAAUGGGAAGAAGAGAGCCAGCCAGGUUCGAUGCCUUCUCCAUCCGUCAGUGAGGGUGUGGAGAGCCUGCAGGCGUGUGCCUCCCUCUGUAACUUGCUAUUCCUUGUGUAAUGUCAAGUGGAAGUGUGAAGCACCACAAACUGCUCUGAGCAGAGCCCACUUCCCUUCACCCACGGAGAGCGUGAAGCAGUUACACCAACAUCAAUCAAGGAAAACCCACAGGCUGAGCUCACACGGUUGAAGCAGGAAGUUGAAGAUUUGUCCAGGAGCAGAUAGCUGAAGAGAGAGAGAGAGAAGAGAGAACGGCUUACAGCUCAGGUCCUCUCUCCAUGCUUAGGAACCACUACAAAUGCUACUGCCUUGAGUCUCAUUUUGUUUCCCUCUGGAAACCACAUGUGUACCUUGUUUGCAACAGUAUGGAUUCUACAUCUCCAUCCAUGGGCCACUGUUUCAGCAACCUCAGCCAGUGCAACACAACCUCAGCCAAGAAGAGUAUGCAGAGAAAGGAGUCCCCUACCUGCCACAAAACUGUUGUCUGAAAACUGUCUCAUAUUGUCUCAAGUUGUCAUUCAUUGUGAAUUAGACCUGUUUAACAUGUAAUCUGCAACAUGCUUCACUGUCUAAUUUUCCAGAGCCCCUCAUAUAAGGAACUGUAUUAUUGGUAUAAUCAUCAUGGUGAAGAAGUUGGUAUGUGGGGGAGAGAUGACAGAAACAGAGAGUAAGUCAGAGCUGGCUGCCUGACAGAUAAAAAGGAAAUGACCAAAAAAAAAAAAAAA
ensembl:lncRNA CASC15 cancer susceptibility 15